rfam:Triticum aestivum genome assembly, contig: Triticum_aestivum_CS42_TGACv1_scaffold_000900_1AL
UAUAUACUCCCUCCGUCCCAAAAUUCUUGUCAUAAAUUUGUUUAAAUAUGGAUGCAUCAAAAGUCACGUUUUAGUAUUAGAUACAUCCGUAUCUAGACAAAUUUAAGACAAGAAUUUUGAGACGGAGGGAGUAUUAA